AUGCAAGUAUGUGAUAAAAGAAAUAUGUCUGAUUACACUUUAAGAAUUAAAAAGAUGAUUGAUCAACUAAUAUGUAUAACAUCUUAUACAGUAUAUACAAAUACAAAUAAAAGAAAACAUACAAAACUUAUAAAACUUAUAAAACUAUUUAAGUACAGACAUAAUAAUUACUUACGUAGAUUAUUAUACAAUACAUAUAUAAAAAUAUAUUUUUAUUUAUUAUGUAGUCCUAAAAUAAAAAACUUUAAACAACUAUAUUGGAAAUAUAAUUCUACCAACAAUUUUAAUAAUAACAACAACAAUAAUAAUAAUAAUAAUAAUAAUAAUAAUAAUAAUAACAGAUGUAUUGAAAGAAGAGGACAUAUUUAUAAUAAUGUUGGAUUAGUAUCAAUUUAUUCAUGUAAUGAAGAAAAUAUAAAUGUGUUAAAUAAUGUCUCUAGACCUGACACAGAUAAACCAAAAGAUAUUUACGCUGAGUAUAUUUCUUCUGACAAUUUUCAUGUUUCAAAGUGUAAAGGUAGGAGUAACAGUUGUAGCAGUAAAGGCAGUAAAAAAAAUGAAACAUAUGGAGAGAAUAAUAAAAACUGUAAAGAAAGUUAUAAUGAUAAUGAUGGCAACCAUCAGGAAAGUAAUGGCAACCAUCAGGAAAGUAAUGGAAACCAUCAGGAAAGUAAUGGAAACAAAACAGGAAGUAGUGACAAAGACAGUGACAGUGAUAGUGAUAGUAGCAGUAGCAAUACAAGAAACACCGUUUAUACAUCAUCCAGCUCAGAUAGCGAGUCCAGUUUUAGUAGCAAUUCUAAUAGUGAUUGUAGUAGACAAAGAAAAAAAGGGAAAUUCUGUUACAGUAGCGAUAGUAGCGUAGAUAGUGAGGAUUUGAUUUUGGAUUACCUUGAUGAAAUAAAUGAUUUUUAUAAUCCUACUUAUGUUUAUCAAAGUAACGAUAGUAAGAAUAACGAGAAAAAUAUGUAUAAAAUACCAUUUAAUCGGAAAAUAAAAUAUAUAGAUCUUAUAGAAAACGGACGUAACAUUAAAGUAACGGAUUAUAAUAAACAAUCAUAUAUAAAAUUAUUAAUAAAAUAUAAAUAUAAUACUUGUGUAAAUAAAAAAAUUAAAUAUUUUGCAGAAGGUUUAUCAUCUCUUAUUCCACUAAAAUGUUUGAAAUGGUUUAACCCAGAUGAAUUGAACAUACUAAUUUCAGGUGAUAAAUUUUGUUUUAAUGUAGAGGAUUUAAAACGUACAGUUUGUUUCCAAGGUGGAUAUAAUGAAAACAGCUUAACGAUUACUUAUUUAUUCGAAAUAUUAGAAGAAUUC
rnacentral:lncRNA from 1 species